UACAGAGGGUGCGAGCGUUAAUCGGAAUUACUGGGCGUAAAGCGCGCGUAGGCGGCUUUGCAAGUCGAGUGUGAAAUCCCCAGGCUUAACCUGGGAACUGCAUUCGAGACUGCAUAGCUAGAGUAUGGGAGAGGAAAGUGGAAUUUCAGGUGUAGCGGUGAAAUGCGUAGAUAUCUGAAGGAACAUCAGUGGCGAAAGCGACUUCCUGGACCAAUACUGACGCUCAUGUGCGAAAGCGUGGGGAGCAAACAGG
rnacentral:rRNA from 1 species